rnacentral:rRNA from 1 species
GACGAACGCUGGCGGCGUGCCUAAUACAUGCAAGUCGAACGAACCGCGACUAGGUGCUUGCACUUGGUCAAGGUGAGUGGCGAACGGGUGAGUAACACGUGGGUAACCUACCUCAUAGUGGGGGAUAACAGUCGGAAACGACUGCUAAUACCGCAUAGGACAUGGGAUCACAUGAUUCUGUGAGGAAAGGUGGCGCAAGCUAUCGCUACGAGAUGGACCCGCGGUGCAUUAGCUAGUUGGUAGGGUAACGGCCUACCAAGGCGAUGAUGCAUAGCCGACCUGAGAGGGUGAUCGGCCACAUUGGGACUGAGACACGGCCCAAACUCCUACGGGAGGCAGCAGUAGGGAAUCUUCCGCAAUGGACGCAAGUCUGACGGAGCAACGCCGCGUGAGUGAAGAAGGUCUUCGGAUCGUAAAGCUCUGUUGUUAGAGAAGAACAGCGCAUAGAGUAACUGUUAUGCGUGUGACGGUAGCUAACCAGAAAGCCACGGCUAACUACGUG